rnacentral:misc_RNA from 1 species
AGAACUCGGCCUGAUGGCGAAGCGCCUGGCCGUACAUGGUGUGCAGCAUCGCGUGACCGGUGCGGUCGGAUGCGGCGCAGGUGCGUUGCGCCUGGCCCUUGCCGUAAUCCAGCGUCAUGCCGCCGAACGGGCGCUGAUAGAUCUUGCCGUCUUCGGUGCGCGAGAACGGCACGCCCCAGUGUUCGAGUUCGUAAACGGCGUCGGGCGCGUUGCG